UUUUUUUUUAUCUCCCUCUUUUUGUGUUAGUUCGGACAAAGCAUUCAACAAUUCAACUCAUACUCUCCUCUCUCCACCUACAAAAGCCCUCUCAGGUUUCUCCUUCGGGUUUUCUAAUUAAUGCAGUACAAUCAUCAGUGACUCGAUUCUUUGCUCCUUUUUGAUUUUCACACACACACACACACACAUUCGAUGGCUUUCCAGAGCAAGAAACUCAUCAACGACCCCAAUGAUGUUGUGACAGAGUUCAUUGAGGGACUUAUUGAGACCUAUCCUGGGUUGCAAUAUCUGGAUGGUUUUCCUGAGGUUAAGGUUGUCUUGCGUGCUGAUGUUUCUGGGGAAAAAUAUGACAAAGUUGCGGUCAUAUCAGGA